AAGAGUUUGAUCAUGGCUCAGAUUGAACGCUGGCGGCAGGCCUAACACAUGCAAGUCGAACGGUAACAGGAAGCAGCUUGCUGCUUCGCUGACGAGUGGCGGACGGGUGAGUAAUGUCUGGGAAACUGCCUGAUGGAGGGGGAUAACUACUGGAAACGGUGGCUAAUACCGCAUAACGUCGCAAGACCAAAGAGGGGGACCUUCGGGCCUCUUGCCAUCAGA
rnacentral:rRNA from 4 species